rnacentral:rRNA from 1 species
GCUUACGGCCAUACCAGCCUGGGUACGCCCGAUCUCGUCUGAUCUCGGAAGCUAAGCAGGGUCGGUCCUGGUUAGUACUUGGAUGCGAGACCGCCUGGGAAUACCAGGUGCUGUAAGCA